GACGAACGCUGGCGGCGUGCUUAACACAUGCAAGUCGAACGAAGUGGCGAACGGGUGAGUAAUACGUGGGUAACCUGCCCUCCUUUUUGGGAUAAGCCUUGGAAACGGGGUCUAAUACCGAAUAAAGGGGGAUGGGCUCGCGGCCUAUCAGCUUGUUGGUGGGGUGAUGGCCUACCAAGGCGGUGACGGGUAGCCGGCCUGAGAGGGUGACCGGCGACAUUGGGACUGAGAUACGGCCCAGACUCCUACGGGAGGCAGCAGUAGGGAAUCUUCGGCAAUGGACGAAAGUCUGACCGAGCAACGCCGCGUGAGUGAAGAAGGUUUUCGGAUCGUAAAGUUCUUUCGGUACCAUAAGAAAAAGCCCCGGCUAACUACGUGCCAGCAGCCGCGGUAAUAC
rnacentral:rRNA from 1 species